AGAGUUUGAUCAUGGCUCAGAACGAACGCUGGCGGCAUGCCUAACACAUGCAAGUCGAACGAGACCUUCGGGUCUAGUGGCGCACGGGUGCGUAACGCGUGGGAAUCUGCCCUUUGCUUCGGAAUAACAGUUAGAAAUGACUGCUAAUACCGGAUGAUGUCUUCGGACCAAAGAUUUAUCGGCAAAGGAUGAGCCCGCGUAGGAUUAGGUAGUUGGUGGGGUAAAGGCCUACCAAGCCGACGAUCCUUAGCUGGUCUGAGAGGAUGAUCAGCCACACUGGGACUGAGAUACGGCCCAGACUCCUACGGGAGGCAGCAGUGGGGAAUAUUGGACAAUGGGGGCAACCCUGAUCCAGCAAUGCCGCGUGAGUGAUGAAGGCCUUAGGGUUGUAAAGCUCUUUUGCCAGGGAAGAUGAUGACUGUACCUGGAGAAUAAGCCCCGGCUAACUUCGUG
rnacentral:rRNA from 1 species